rnacentral:rRNA from 1 species
CUGUGGGUGGCGAGUGGCGGACGGGUGAGUAAUGCAUCGGGACCUGCCCAGACGUGGGGGAUAACGUAGGGAAACUUACGCUAAUACCGCAUACGUCCUACGGGAGAAAGCGGGGGAUCGAAAGACCUCGCGCGGUUGGAUGGACCGAUGUUCGAUUAGCUAGUUGGUGAGGUAAUGGCUCACCAAGGCGACGAUCGAUAGCUGGUCUGAGAGGAUGAUCAGCCACACUGGGACUGAGACACGGCCCAGACUCCUACGGGAGGCAGCAGUGGGGAAUAUUGGACAAUGGGCGAAAGCCUGAUCCAGCAAUGCCGCGUGUGUGAAGAAGGCCUUCGGGUUGUAAAGCACUUUUAUCAGGAGCGAAAUACUGCCGGCUAAUACCCGGUGGGGCUGACGGUACCUGAGGAAUAAGCACCGGCUAACUUCGUGCCAGCAGCCGCGGUAAUACGAAGGGUGCAAGCGUUAAUCGGAAUUACUGGGCGUAAAGCGUGCGUAGGCGGUUCUUUAAGUCUGCUGUGAAAUCCCCGGGCUCAACCUGGGAAUGGCAGUGGAUACUGGAGAGCUAGAGUGUGAUAGAGGAUGGUGGAAUUCCCGGUGUAGCGGUGAAAUGCGUAGAGAUCGGGAGGAACAUCAGUGGCGAAGGCGGCCAUCUGGAUCAACACUGACGCU